rnacentral:tRNA from 1 species
GGAGCUAUAAAUAAGGGCUCGGAUCAUAUAAAAAAUUGUAAUUUCACAACUCUUUAAUAAUUGUGUAGUUAUAAAAGCCAUCGCACUCUAGAGGUCGUGAGUUCGAACCUCAUCGGCUCCA